GACGAACGCUGGCGGCGUGCCUAACACAUGCAAGUCGAGCGCGAAAGUCCCUUCGGGGGCGAGUAGAGCGGCGGACGGGUGAGUAAUACAUGGAUAAUCUGCCCUCGAGAUCGGGAUAACCCUGCGAAAGUGGGGCUAAUACCGAAUAAGACCACACAACACAAGUUGUGUGGUAAAAGGUGGCUUGAAUUUAUUCUGGCUAUCACUUGAGGAUGAGUCCAUGGCCUAUCAGCUUGUUGGUGGGGUAAUGGCCUACCAAGGCAACGAUGGGUAGCCGGCCUGAGAGGGUGUACGGCCACACUGGGACUGAGACACGGCCCAGACUCCUACGGGGGGCAGCAGUAGGGAAUCUUCGGCAAUGGGCGGAAGCCUGACCGAGCGACGCCGCGUGAGGGACGAAGGCCUUCGGGUUGUAAACCUCUGUCUGGGGGACGAGGUAAGGACGGUACCCCGGAGGAAGCCCCGGCUAACUACGUG
rnacentral:rRNA from 1 species